rnacentral:rRNA from 1 species
UACGUAGGGGGCAAGCGUUGUCCGGAUUUAUUGGGCGUAAAGAGCGUGUAGGCGGCCUGACAGGUCUGCUGUGAAAACUCGAGGCUCAACCUCGAGAUGUCGGCGGAAACCGUCUGGCUAGAGUCCGGAAGAGGAGAGUGGAAUUCCUGGUGUAGCGGUGAAAUGCGCAGAUAUCAGGAAGAACACCUAUGGCGAAGGCAGCUCUCUGGGACGGUACUGACGCUGAGACGCGAAAGCCAGGGGAGCGAACGGG